AUUGAACGCUGGCGGCAUGCCUUACACGUGCAAGUCGAACGGUAACGCGGGGCAACCUGGCGACGAGUGGCGAACGGGUGAGUAAUGUAUCGGAACGUGCCCAGUUGUGGGGGAUAACUGCUCGAAAGAGCAGCUAAUACCGCAUACGACCUGAGGGUGAAAGCGGGGGAUCGCAAGACCUCGCGCAAUUGGAGCGGCCGAUAUCAGAUUAGGUAGUUGGUGGGGUAAAGGCCCACCAAGCCAACGAUCUGUAGCUGGUCUGAGAGGACGACCAGCCAAACUGGGACUGAGACACGGCCCAGACUCAUACGGGAGGCAGCAGUGUGGAAUUUUGGACAAUGGACGCAAGUCUGAUCCAGCCAGGCCGCGUGCGGGAAGAAGGCCUUCGGGUUGUAAACCGCUUUUGUCAGGGAAGAAAAGGCUCUCUCUAAUACAGGGGGCUAAUGACGGUACCUGAAGAAUAAGCACCGGCUAACUACGUGCCAGCCGCCGCCGUAACAC
rnacentral:rRNA from 1 species